rnacentral:rRNA from 1 species
UACGGGGGGAGCAAGCGUUGUUCGGAUUUACUGGGCGUAAAGGGCAGGUAGGUUGUCUUGUAAGUCUACUGUGAAAUCCCCGGGCUUAACUCGGGAAGUGCGGUGGAUACUGUAAGACUAGAGUACUGGAGGGGUUCGUGGAAUACCCGGUGUAGCGGUGAAAUGCGUAGAUAUGCGGAGGAACACCGAUGGCGAAGGCAAUCCCCUGGGCCUG